rnacentral:rRNA from 1 species
UACGUAGGGUGCAAGCGUUAAUCGGAAUUACUGGGCGUAAAGCGUGCGCAGGCGGCUUUGCAAGACAGAUGUGAAAUCCCCGGGCUUAACCUGGGAAUGGCAUUUGGGACUGCAAGGCUCGAGUGCGGCAGAGGAGACUGGAAUUCCUGGUGUAGCAGUGAAAUGCUUAGAUAUGACCCAGAACACCAAUUGCGAAGGCAGCUCGCUAAGCCAUAACUGACGCUGAGGCACGAAAGCGUGGGGAGCAAACAGG